UACAGGAUCUCAUUUAAGGUUCCCGAUAUUGGAGAUAGAACAUCUACAGGAUCUCAUUUAAGGUUCCCGAUAUUGGAGAUAGAACAUCUACAGGAUCUCAUUUAAGGUUCCCGAUAUUGGAGAUAGAACAUCUACAGGAUCUCAUUUAAGGAUCCCGAUAUUGGAGACAGAACAUCUACAGGUUCUAGUGCUUGUUGUCUGCUGUUAGCUUGUGCCUCAUUUAUGGGGUUUUCUUUGCUCCUUG